rnacentral:rRNA from 1 species
GAGUCCUACGGGGCGCAGCAGUGAGGAAUAUUGGUCAAUGGGCGAGAGCCUGAACCAGCCAAGUCGCGUGAAGGAUGACGGCCCUAUGGGUUGUAAACUUCUUUUGUCAGGGAGCAAUUGGGUCCACGCGUGGGCUUAGCGAGAGUACCUGAAGAAAAAGCAUCGGCUAACUCCGUGCCAGCAGCCGCGGUAAUACGGAGGAUGCGAGCGUUAUCCGGAUUUAUUGGGUUUAAAGGGUGCGUAGGCGGGACCUUAAGUCAGCGGUAAAAUUGCGGUGCUCAACGCCGUAGAGCCGUUGAAACUGG